rnacentral:tRNA from 2 species
GCCACCCUAGCUCAACGGCAGAGCAAUCGCUUCGUAAGCGAUAGGUUAAGGGUUCAAAUCCCUUGGGUGGCU